GAUGAACGCUGGCGGCGUGCCUAAUACAUGCAAGCCGAGCGAACAGACGAGGAGCUUGCUCCUCUGACGUUAGCGGCGGACGGGUGAGUAACACGUGGAUAACCUACCUAUAAGACUGGGAUAACUUCGGGAAACCGGAGCUAAUACCGGAUAAUAUAUUGAACCGCAUGGUUCAAUAGUGAAAGACGGUUUUGCUGUCACUUAUAGAUGGAUCCGCGCCGCAUUAGCUAGUUGGUAAGGUAACGGCUUACCAAGGCAACGAUGCGUAGCCGACCUGAGAGGGUGAUCGGCCACACUGGAACUGAGACACGGUCCAGACUCCUACGGGAGGCAGCAGUAGGGAAUCUUCCGCAAUGGGCGAAAGCCUGACGGAGCAACGCCGCGUGAGUGAUGAAGGUCUUCGGAUCGUAAAACUCUGUUAUUAGGGAAGAACAAAUGUGUAAGUAACUAUGCACGUCUUGACGGUACCUAGUCAGAAAGCCACGGCUAACUACGUG
rnacentral:rRNA from 1 species